rnacentral:rRNA from 1 species
CAGUAGCCACGGGAAUACGUAGGUGGCAAGCGUUAUCCGGAAUUAUUGGGCGUAAAGCGCGCGUAGGCGGUUUCUUAAGUCUGAUGUGAAAGCCCACGGCUCAACCGUGGAGGGUCAUUGGAAACUGGGAAACUUGAGUGCAGAAGAGGAAAGUGGAAUUCCAUGUGUAGCGGUGAAAUGCGCAGAGAUAUGGAGGAACACCAGUGGCGAAGGCGACUUUCUGGUCUGUAACUGACGCUGAUGUGCGAAAGCGUGGGGAUCAAACAGGAUUAGAUACCCCUGUAGUCCCUGUCUCUUAUAU